rnacentral:rRNA from 1 species
UUUAGGAAAAUAAAUCAAACGAGAUUCUAUGAUUAGUGUGAAUGAAAAUAGAAAAGCCUAUUUUAAAGAUAUAUUGUAUUAUAUAUCUUUAUAUUAAAAAAGUAAAACGGGCAUAACCUCCAGUUUGAAUACGUCAAAUAAUUGUCUAAUAAAAUUAUUUGACAAAGGGGAACCUUCCUCUAAGGCUAAAUAUAAUAUAUAAGCGAUAGCGUAUAGUACUGUGAAGGAAAGGUUUGAAUUAGUAGCUUAUAAGCAGCUAAUGCUUUAUUUAAUUAAAAAGUGAUAGCGUACCUUUUGCAUAAUGGGUCAGUAAGUUAAUAUUAGAUGCGAGCAUCAGUGCCCAGAUAAACCAAUUAUGAAUUAAUGAAUUAGUAUCUAAAAUUAGACCCGAAGGCUAGUGAUCUUACCAUAGUCAGGAUUAUAAAAGUCCGAACGGGUUAUCGUUGUAUAGAUAUCCGAGGAACUGUGGUAAGUAAAGUGAAAAGACAACACUGACUAGUAUAGCUGGUUUUCUGCGAAACCUAUAAAAGUAGGUAAUUUAAGUAACAUCAUAGCAGGUACAGAACUGUGUUCUCAGGCAACUUUUAAGAUAGAAAUUUCUAUUUUAUAUUUUGCAUAUAUCGGGCAAUCGUGAAGAUUUUAUCGGUGAGUAAUCGCACUCGGAAUGGUUAUGAUCUUUAUUAAAUAAUCGGACAUAGUACGCUAAGGUUGUGUGUCUAAAGGGAAACAGCCCAGAACAAGAGUAAAGGUUCCAAAAUUAUUGUUAAGUGAAAAUAAGGAAGUUUUCUUCAAAUACAACCAGGAAAUAGGCUUAGAAGCGGCCAUUUUUUGAAGACCUCGUAACAGAGCACUGGUUUAACAUUAAAAGUUGAAAGCACCGAAAAUUUAACGGAUCUAAAACAAUAUACCGAAACCUUGUCUAUAAAUAAAAUAUAUACUAAAAUAGAUUUUAUUUUUUUAAUAAAUUUAGCUUAAGUAUUUUAUUUAUGGGGUAGCAGAACGUUGGGCAUGUCUUAGAAUUAAUAUUUUUAAUAUUGAGUAGGUUCGGCAGAAUAUGUACUACUGCCAAAAACAAUAGGUGCUACACUUACUAACUAAAACAAACAAGUAGGUUGUAGGUUCAACGCUUAUUUUUCGAGGUAAAUAGAUACACUGUCGAAUAAGAUGACCCCAAGUGAGAAUGCUGGCAUGAGUAACGAAAAAGGGAUAGCCCCUCGCCUUAAGCUUAUGGUAUUUAAAUAAAGUAACGGCCUCUAAGUUUAUAAUUGUCCUAAAGGAUUAAACGAUGAGAAAAAUCUUAAGUCUUUAUAUAGGUCUAACAACAUUGUGAUAUUUUGAGUACACAAUGUUCUGGAAAAGGACCUUAAAAUGUAAUAGUACGUCAUGUAAUGUAAUGUACUGGUCGCUUAACAAGCGUAUAAAAACUUUACAUUUGACAAACCGUACCUAGAUACUACCACAAGUAAGCAAGUAGAGUAUACAAAGGCGUUUGAGUUAACAAUCAUUAAGGAACUCGGCAAAAUGACACCGUAACUUAGGGAUAAGGUGUGCCAUCCUUCUUAAGUAAUAUUAAGUUAAGGAUAGGAGGCAUAGAGUGGUGUUGUACGACUGUUUAAUUAAAACAAAGCACUCCGCAAUAAGAUAAUAAAUCAAAGUAUUGAGUGUGAUUUCUGCCCGAUGUCGGCCGGUUAACGGAUUUUCUAAGUUGACUAAUAUAAGCUUGGUUUUGAUGGAAACCCCGAUCAAUGGCGGCCUUACCUAUGAGGGUCCUAAGGUAGCGGAAUACCUUGGCCGUUAAAUGCGGUCUUGCAUGAAUGAUUUAACGAUACAACAGCUGUCUCAAGGAUUGGCUCAGUGAAAUUGGAAUAACUGUGCAGAUACAGUUUACCUCUAGAUAGACGAGAAGACCCUAUGCAGCUUUACUGUUACUAGUUAUUAGAUAUGAUAAACAGCAUUUUUAGUGCAUAAGGUAGGUCUUAAUUGACCGAAAUUGAAACACCUUUAUUUAGUUUUUCAUAUUGGUAAAUAUAAUUUACGUGAUAAAUAUACUAUCAUUUCCAAAAGAGAGGAACGAUGACUAGGAGGCAGUUUAUGCGGGGCACAGAUCCCAUAAAAAGUACCUGGGUGUAUCCAAAGUUAAUUUUGUAAUUUGGUUAUAAUUUCGUUAUAACAAAUCUAUAAGGGUCUAGCUGCCUAAAUAUGAGCCAGCCGUCGAAGCUAAGGGCUAACCCUCUUUAGGUUUUUUUAGUUUGUUAUUAGAGAUAGCUCUUCUUAGAACUAUUACCAAUCCACCUAUAUAUCUAUUGAGUUAGAACUAAAUUUUUUAAUCAAGUAAGAUUUUAUCUAUAUUGAAAAUAGAUGUAAAACUAUGUUAUAUUUUCUUCUGGGCCAGCUUAGUACCAGAGGCUGCACUGGUCUUCUAGCCGAGGUCUUCUAGAGCUAGCCAGGUUCUAAGCUAGCUUAGAACCAGGCAGAUCCUUUUCUUACCACUGAAAACACAGGCAAGGAGGUAGCCCGGCCACUAUUGUUGCAAAGGCAGAGCUGCGGGCUGGUUCUCUGCCGGCAAACAAGAGGCGGU